CGUCCAGCCCUGCCCUCCAGCCGGCAGCCAUUUGCACAUGCAGCGGUCAUGACAUCUGAUGCCGCAGUGGUCGUAGACUGGGGCUCAUACUGCCUGAAGGCUGGGCUGGCUUCACAGACGCACCCGCAGGUUGAGCUCCAGC
rnacentral:SRP_RNA from 14 species